UAAACGACUCUCGGCAACGGAUAUCUCGGCUCUCGCAUCGAUGAAGAACGUAGCGAAAUGCGAUACUUGGUGUGAAUUGCAGAAUCCCGUGAACCAUCGAGUCUUUGAACGCAAGUUGCGCCCAAAGCCUUCGGGCCAAGGGCACGCCUGCCUGGGCGUCACGC
rnacentral:rRNA from 1 species